GAGAAACGGAAGAAAUAGUAGAACUAGCAGAAAUAUAGCACCGUUUCAUGAACUAUAUGGUCUAUGGUGAUACAAUUAUUUUGUGUCUUCUUAAAUAAUGCACAUAUGGAAUAAUUUUGGAGCUUUAAUACUACCUGCGUAAUUCCUUGGCCAACCUUUUUAUAUUUCCUAUACCUAAUUUUAUAGUUUAUUUCACCUACAUGCUAUAGAGAAAUUCUUGUGAACCAUAUGGAAAGAAUUAUGGAGCUUUAAUACUACCUGCGUAAUUCCUUGGCCAACCUUUUUAUAUUUCCUAUACCUGAUUUUAUAGUUUAUUUCACCUACAUGCUAUAGAGAAAUUCUUGUGAACCUGAACUUGAAAGAUC
rnacentral:lncRNA from 1 species